ACAUGCAAGUCGAACGAACUCUGGUAUUGAUUGGUGCUUGCAUCAUGAUUUACAUUUGAGUGAGUGGCGAACUGGUGAGUAACACGUGGGAAACCUGCCCAGAAGCGGGGGAUAACACCUGGAAACAGAUGCUAAUACCGCAUAACAACUUGGACCGCAUGGUCCGAGUUUGAAAGAUGGCUUCGGCUAUCACUUUUGGAUGGUCCCGCGGCGUAUUAGCUAGAUGGUGAGGUAACGGCUCACCAUGGCAAUGAUACGUAGCCGACCUGAGAGGGUAAUCGGCCACAUUGGGACUGAGACACGGCCCAAACUCCUACGGGAGGCAGCAGUAGGGAAUCUUCCACAAUGGACGAAAGUCUGAUGGAGCAACGCCGCGUGAGUGAAGAAGGGUUUCGGCUCGUAAAACUCUGUUGUUAAAGAAGAACAUAUCUGAGAGUAACUGUUCAGGUAUUGACGGUAUUUAACCAGAAAGCCACGGCUAACUACGUGCCAGCAGCCGCGGUAAUACGUAGGUGGCAAGCGUUGUCCGGAUUUAUUGGGCGUAAAGCGAGCGCAGGCGGUUUUUUAAGUCUGAUGUGAAAGCCUUCGGCUCAACCGAAGAAGUGCAUCGGAAACUGGGAAACUUGAGUGCAGAAGAGGACAGUGGAACUCCAUGUGUAGCGGUGAAAUGCGUAGAUAUA
rnacentral:rRNA from 1 species